CUCCUGCCAGCAGUAGAACUUCUGCCCCAAGGGCUCAGCAGCUGGUGUAGUACUGUGAUUCUGUUACCAUGGUGACCAGCAUUCCACCUUCUGCCCCUGAGUUGGCAAACAGGUUCUUUUGAUGCCCUGGCUAAGAACCCUCACCUCCAAAACAACAAACAGAAAGGCAGGCCAAAAGCAGCCUUGAGAUGUUGACUCAGGGAGUCACGAUGCCUGGGAUGGAAUCCCAGAUCUGCCACGUGCUUACUGUGUGACCUGGAGCAAGCUACACAACCUCUGUGGUGCUUUUUGCUCUUACCCCUUCAAGGGGAUGAAAGUCUCAGCAUCAUUGCCGGGAUCCACUGAGUCGAUGCAGGUGAUGUUUAUUACUGACACAUAGAAUGUGCUCACUAAGUUUUAGAGCCAGAUCUUGAGUACUGUGCAGAGUGUGAGCUACAGAGAUGGAGAAACAUAGACCCCGACUUCAGUAGAUGGCCUACAGGGUACAGAAGGGUACUUUAUGCCAUCAGUCUGAGUCCCUGUAGGGACAGAAGGUGCAUUCAAAUUUGGACCAGAUGAAGGGACUCUGCACAAAGACAACAGCUAAGUUCAGUGUGAUGAUCCUGGGUGACCUUCAACCAAGUGGAGGUAGGAGUUGGAAGUGCUUCAGGAGACAGACCUAUGGCUUCAGCAAGUCUAGGUACCACACAGGUCAACGUUUGAAGAUUGCCGAGGAGGCUAAGCUGGCUGGCCAGCCCUGGAGAGUUGCGAGUCUCUGUCAUACCAGCGCUGGAACUGAAGCCCUGCUGCCAUGCCUGGCUUCUUCUACAUUCUAAGUCCAUACCUUAUAAUAAGGUGUGCUGGCUAGUUUUGUGUCAACUUGACACAG